rnacentral:rRNA from 1 species
UACAGAGGUCUCAAGCGUUGUUCGGAUUCAUUGGGCGUAAAGGGUGCGUAGGCGGGUCUUUAAGUCAGGGGUGAAAUCCUGGAGCUCAACUCCAGAACUGCCUUUGAUACUGAAGAUCUUGAGUUCGGGAGAGGUGAGUGGAACUGCGAGUGUAGAGGUGAAAUUCGUAGAUAUUCGCAAGAGCACCAGUGGCGAAGGCGGCUCACUGGCCCGAUACUGACGCUGAGGCACGAAAGCGUGGGGAGCAAACAGG